AUUGAACGCUGGCGGCAGGCCUAACACAUGCAAGUCGAGCGGAUGAAGGGAGCUUGCUCCUGGAUUCAGCGGCGGACGGGUGAGUAACGCCUAGGAAUCUGCCUGGUAGUGGGGGAUAACGUCCGGAAACGGGCGCUAAUACCGCAUACGUCCUGAGGGAGAAAGUGGGGGAUCUUCGGACCUCACGCUAUCAGAUGAGCCUAGGUCGGAUUAGCUAGUUGGUGGGGUAAAGGCCUACCAAGGCGACGAUCCGUAACUGGUCUGAGAGGAUGAUCAGUCACACUGGAACUGAGACACGGUCCAGACUCCUACGGGAGGCAGCAGUGGGGAAUAUUGGACAAUGGGCGAAAGCCUGAUCCAGCCAUGCCGCGUGUGUGAAGAAGGUCUUCGGAUUGUAAAGCACUUUAAGUUGGGAGGAAGGGCAGUAAGUUAAUACCUUGCUGUUUUGACGUUACCAACAGAAUAAGCACCGGCCAACUUCGUG
rnacentral:rRNA from 1 species